CCUUGUACUUUCUCCUUUGUCCCUUCUCUACCCUCCUGACUCCUCACUCUACAUCUCAAGUUGCUCCCGUAGGUUGCUGAGUUCCAGUGGCUAGAUCACUAUAUUAUUGGAGGGUAUGGGCUAGAACGAGAGCCAGUGGCUGGUCAACAACGUGGCCAAUCUGCUCUGUAAUUGUAGUAUAAUGGACCAUUCUAUGAACGCCAGCAAGUCGAGCCUGCUUAUAGGAAUGCAUGUCUUCA
rnacentral:lncRNA from 1 species